GGCGAACGGGUGCGUAACACGUGAGAAACCUGCCCCGGUCUCUGGAAUAACAGUUGGAAACGACUGCUAAUACCGGAUGCCGUCGGACCAUCGCAUGGUGGACCGACGAAAGGGUUACCGGACCGGGAGGGUCUCGCGGCCUAUCAGCUUGUUGGUGAGGUAACGGCUCACCAAGGCAUCGACGGGUAGCUGGUCUGAGAGGAUGAUCAGCCACACUGGGACUGAGACACGGCCCAGACUCCUACGGGAGGCAGCAGUAGGGAAUAUUGCACAAUGGGCGAAAGCCUGAUGCAGCAACGCCGCGUGCGGGAAGAAGGCCCUAGGGUUGUAAACCGCUUUCAGCAGGGAAGAAAAUGACGGUACCUGCAGAAGAAGGUGCGGCCAACUACGUGCCAGCAGCCGCGGUGACACGUAGGCACCAAGCGUUGUCCGGAUUUAUUGGGCGUAAAGAGCUCGUAGGCGGUUCAGUUAGUCGGGUGUGAAAACUCUGGGCUCAACCCAGAGACGCCACUCGAUACUGCUGUGACUAGAGUGCGGUAGGGGAGCGGGGAAUUCCUAGUGUAGCGGUGAAAUGCGCAGAUAUUAGGAGGAACACCAGUGGCGAAGGCGCCGCUCUGGGCCGUAACUGACGCUGAGGAGCGAAAGCGUGGGUAGCAAACAGGAUUAGAUACCCUGGUAGUCCACGCCGUAAACGUUGGGCACUAGGUGUGGGUCUCAACCAACGAGAUCCGCGCCGUCGCUAACGCAUUAAGUGCCCC
rnacentral:rRNA from 1 species